GUCAUUUUGGCUAGUGAUGUCCUUCCUUGCAUUUGAGCUUGGUUGGUGGCUACUAGGCACGUGGUUUCGGGGAUGUCUGCCUUAAAGGUGCAUGAGUGGUGUUUGGUUUGUUACGGGUGGAUGGCUGUUAGCUUGCGCAACAACUUCCACCUGGCAAUCCUCUUCAAUUUUGCUUCAAUGCCUCGAUGGCACUGAACGCACGUUGGGUUUUCUGUGUUGCAUGCCUAAUUGAUGGUAUCGGUUGGUGAAUCGGUUGUUGUUUUCGUCUUGUGUCGUUCACGCGAUGCGAGAUGAAUCAUGUAGCAACAUUUGUGAUCCACUCUUUUGAUGCUUUUGCAUUGAUUUUGGGGCUCGCUGGUGAUUGCUUGGUCUCAUGGAUAUGGAACGUUGUGUGGGCAUGUGAUCUUUUACUAGAUCAUUGUUUUCCCAAAACUAAGCUUUUCAAAUACGAUUUCCUAUC
rnacentral:misc_RNA from 1 species